rnacentral:rRNA from 1 species
UACGUAGGGGGCAAGCGUUGUCCGGAUUUAUUGGGCGUAAAGAGCGUGUAGGCGGUUUGGUAGGUCCGCUGUGAAAACUCGAGGCUCAACCUCGAGACGCCGGUGGAAACCAUCAGACUAGAGUCCGGAAGAGGAGAGUGGAAUUCCUGGUGUAGCGGUGAAAUGCGCAGAUAUCAGGAGGAACACCGGUGGCGAAGGCGGUUCUCUGGGCAUUACCUGACGCUGAGGAGCGAAAGUGUGGGGAGCGAACAGG